ACACGCUUACAAUGCACCUUUUAAUGCAUCACAUUAAAAGGGAAGAUGUCGAAUUUUGAUGAGACUAGAUGAGAGAUGGCACAAUGGAUUGUGCUCUGCUAAUCUGCCUAGAGGAUGGCUUGGUUCGGGCGCCGAAGAAGGACGUGCCAAGCUGCGAUAAGCCUUGGGGAGGCGCAUGGAGCCUUAGAUCCAAGGAUCUCCGAAUGGGACUUCCUGCCGUAAGGCACUCCGAAAGGAGAGGGAACCCGGGGAAUUGAAACAUCUUAGUACCCGGAGGAAAAGAAAUCAAUUGAGAUACCGUUAGUAAAGGCGAUCGAAAGCGGUAGAAGGCAAACCGAAUAGCCCUUCGAAAGAAGGGAAAGAUGUGGAGUUUGGUCUUCCUCUAAUGCCUCCUGAAGCGAGAUGAAUCUUCUGGAAAGAAGAGCCUUAGAAGGUGAUAGCCCUGUAAUCGAAGCUUCAGAAGCUACAAGGGGAAGUAACCAGAGUACCAUGCGUCGUUUUUCGCGUGGGAAUUUGGGUGGCACUAACAUCCAACCUUAAAUACGUCCCGAGUCCGAUAGCGAACAAAGUACCGUGAGGGAAAGCUGAAAAGAAACCCGGAAGGGUGGUGAAAAGAGCCUGAAACUAGGCAGAGAUAAACUUAUAGGGCAGUUAAGAGGUGAAGUCGUUAACUACGAUGGAUCGCUGUCCUAUUGUCCGUGUUGAAGAACGGGCCAGGGAGUUCUGACGAGUGGCAAGGUUAAUCCUGAAAGGAGUAGCCGUAGCGAAAGCAACUACCCGCACAGCAAUGGGGGGGUGGCGUGGUAAACGCGUUUAGUCACUCGUGAGAGACCCGAAGCCGGUCGAUCUACACCUGAGUAGGUUGAAGCUCAGUGAAAGCUGGGUGGAGGACCGAACCUAUUCUGAUGUGCAAAUCGUUUGGAUGACUUGGGUGUAGGGGUUAAAGGCCAAUCUAGGCCGGCAAUAGCGGGUUCCCCCCGAUACUACCCGCAGGUAGACCUCGAUGGAGAUUCUCGGCGAGGUAGAGCGACCGAUUGGUUGGUAAGCAGUCGAAAGGCUGCGCCGACUUGUCAAACUCCGAACUUGUCGAGAUCGUAGAAGUCGGGUGCUAGGGGGCAGGGAUAAGCUUUGCUUCCGUGAUGGGAACAACCAAGACGAGGGUUAAGGUCCCUAAGUUCUAGUUAAGUGCACUAAAUAGGUUUGUGGCCAAAGACAGUGGGGAGGUAGGCUCAGAAGCAGCCAUCCUUCAAAGAGUGCGUAACAGCUCACUCACCGAGGUCACAUGCCUAGAAGAUGGAAGGGGCUAAAACUAGACACCGAGACCUUCGAGCACCGAAAGGUGAUCUGGUAGGGGGGCGUGCCAUGUGGAUAGAAGUCUCCCCGAGAGGAGGGAUGGACCGCAUGGUAUCGCGGAUCCUGGUGAAAGUAGCAGAGAAGAACCGUGAGAAUCGGUUCCGCCGAAAGGGCUAGGGUUCCUUGGCAAUGUUCGUCAGCCGAGGGUUAGUCGAUCCUAAGGCCAUACCUAACAGGAUAUGGUCGAAGGGGAAGCCGGUUAAUAUUCCGGCACACUGAACGUUUUGCCCUGUAUGAGAAGGUUCAGGGUAGGGGCGGUACGGGUGCCAACGUAUUUAUGCUCAUAAGCGGAUGGAGAGUCGUAAUGACGAGAAGUUCGCGAAAGAGCGUAUGUUCCCGUUUGGGAAUCGCCUCGAUCCCCGGAUCCCAUGAAAAUCAUGCAGGGGUCAGGUUCAGUAUCGUACCAAGAACCGACACUGGUGCCCCUAGGUGAGAAGCCUAAGGCGUUUUGGGAUAAUGGACGCGAGGGAAAUCGGCAAAAUAGCUCCGUAUCUUCGGUAUAAGGAGUGCCUAUUCCGUGAGGGAAUAGGUCGCAGUGACGAAGGGACUCCGACUGUUUACCACAAACACAGAUCGCUGCUAGUCCGUAAGGAUGUGUAUAGCGGUUGAAACCUGCCCAGUGCUGGUACCUGAAAGCCCCGUACAAGGGGAAGAAGGGCCAGUAAACGGCGGGGGUAACUAUGACCCUCUUAAGGUAGCGUAAUACCUAGCCGCUUAAUUGGCGGCUUGCAUGAAGGUUCAACGUGGGUCCCACUGUCCCCGCGUUCAGCCCAGUGAAAUUGAUGUACUGGUGCACAAUCCAGUCUCUCCCACGUGAAAGCGAAGUCCCCGUGGAGCUUUACUGCAGCCUGUAGCUGUGGUGCGAUCCUGACUGCGUAGUGUAGGAAGGAGCCGUCGAAGCUCUGGUUUCGGCCGGAGUGGAGGCGCCAAUGAAACACUUCCCUCUCGGGAUUGCGUCACUAACCUCUUCGGAGGGACAACUAUUGGUGGGCAGUUUGGGUGGGGCGCCACGCCCCUAACAACGUAACAGGGGCCCCCAAAGGUCAGCUCAGGAGGGUCAGAAAUCCUCCGUAGAGUGUAAAAGCAAAAGCUGGCUUGACUGUGUUGCAGACAACUAGCAACGCAGAUGCGAAAGCAGGGUUUAGCGAACCACCCAGUUCCUCCUUAGUGGGGGCGGGUGAUAAGAGAGAAGUUACCCCAGGGAUAACUGAGUCGUCCUCGGCAAGAGUACACAUCGACCCGAGGGUUUGCUACUUCGAUGUCGUCUGUUCCUAUCCUGGUGCUGCAUAAGGUGCCAAGGGUGGGGCUGUUCGCCCAUUAAAAGGGAUCCUGAGAUGGGUUCACUACGUCGCGAGACAGUAGGGUUGCUUCUCCGUGGGAGUGCUCGAUGUCUGAGGGGAAGGGGCCUUUAGUACGAGAGGAACAAGGGCUCGUGACCUCUAGUUUACCGGUUGUCUGGCAAGGCAUCGCCGGGUAGCCACGUCAUACGCGGAUAAGAGCUGAAAGCAUCUAAGCUCGAAGCCGCCCCCGAAAAUAGACAUCGUCAUCAGAUCGCCUCUAGAAGAGAGGUUUGAUAGAGCCGGGAUGUAAGGAUCGAGCUUCGGCGAGAUUUUAAGUCCACGGCUACUAAAGAUCGAAGGCACAAUCCAUGCUAAAUUCUCGUCUAGUUGAAGUCAUAAGCGUGUUUGAUUU
rnacentral:rRNA from 1 species